rnacentral:rRNA from 1 species
UACGAAGGGGGCUAGCGUUGCUCGGAAUCACUGGGCGUAAAGGGUGCGUAGGCGGGUUUUUAAGUCAGGGGUGAAAUCCUGGAGCUCAACUCCAGAACUGCCUUUGAUACUGAGAAGCUUGAGUCCGGGAGAGGUGAGUGGAACUGCGAGUGUAGAGGUGAAAUUCGUAGAUAUUCGCAAGAACACCAGUGGCGAAGGCGGCUCACUGGCCCGGUACUGACGCUGAGACGCGAAAGCGUGGGGAGCAAACAGG